rnacentral:rRNA from 1 species
UUUAAUUUUUAUUAAAAGUGACGGGCGAUAUGUGCAUGUUUGAUUUCUAUUUAAAAUUUUAUUUUUUUUUUUUUAAUUUACUUUCAAAUCCUUAUUAGUUUUAUUUUUUUAGUUAUUCCUUUUUUUAAUUGUUGUACUCCGUUUUAUCUCAAAAAUAUUCUUUGUCUUGAUUUGUGAUUUUAUUUUUAUAAUUAUUUAAAAAUUUUUUUUUUAUUAAUUUUCAUACAAUGAUAUAAAAGAUAAAAUUUAUAGUUCAUUUAAUCGUGGGUUGUCGUUUACAUAGCAGAGUCCUCUGUGUAGGUCUAAACACCGCCAUUAUAGUUAGUUUUUUCUUUAUUAAAUACUUACUUUUUUUAUUUUAAAA